UAGGGAAUCUUCGGCAAUGGGCGAAAGCCUGACCGAGCAACGCCGCGUGAGCGAUGAAGGCCUUCGGGUCGUAAAGCUCUGUUGUUAGAGAAGAACAAGUACGAGAGUAACUGCUCGUACCUUGACGGUACCUAACCAGAAAGCCACGGCUAACUACGUGCCAGCAGCCGCGGUAAUACGUAGGUGGCAAGCGUUAUCCGGAAUUAUUGGGCGUAAAGCGCGCGCAGGCGGUCUCUUAAGUCUGAUGUGAAAGCCCACGGCUCAACCGUGGAGGGUCAUUGGAAACUGGGAGACUUGAGUGCAGGAGAGAAAAGUGGAAUUCCACGUGUAGCGGUGAAAUGCGUAGAGAUGUGGAGGAACACCAGUGGCGAAGGCGGCUUUUGGCCUGUAACUGACGCUGAGGCGCGAAAGCGUGGGGAGCAAACAGGAUUAGAUACCCUGGUAGUCCACGCCGUAAACGAUGAGUGCUAGGUGUUGGGGGUUCC
rnacentral:rRNA from 1 species